AAAGUACUCCCUCCGUCCCAAAAUUCUUGUCUUAGAUUUGUCUAGAUACAGAUGUAUCUAAUAGAUACAGAUGUAUCAAGUCACAUUUUAGUAUUAGAUACAUCUGUAUCUAGACAAAUCUAAGACAAGAAUUCUGGAAUGGAGGGAGUAGUUG
rfam:Triticum aestivum genome assembly, contig: Triticum_aestivum_CS42_TGACv1_scaffold_221042_3B